rnacentral:rRNA from 1 species
GACGAACGCUGGCGGCGCGCUUAACACAUGCAAGUCGAGCGAGAACCAGUCCUUCGGGACUGGGGACAGCGGCGAACGGGUGAGUAACACGUGGGUAAUCUGCCCUCGGCACCGGAAUAGCCCGGGGAAACCCGGAUUAAUGCCGGAUGGCCUCUCUGCCCCUCGGGGCGGCGAGAAAAGGUAGCUUCGGCCUCCGGCCGAGGAUGAGCCCGCGGCCGAUUAGCUUGUUGGUGGGGUAACGGCUCACCAAGGCGACGAUCGGUAGCUGGUCGGAGAGGACGAGCAGCCACACUGGGACUGAGACACGGCCCAGACUCCUACGGGAGGCAGCAGUGGGGAAUCUUGCGCAAUGGGCGAAAGCCUGACGCAGCGACGCCGCGUGCGGGAAGAAGGCCUUCGGGUUGUAAACCGCUUUCAGGAGGGACGAAGCCACUCGGGUUAAUAGCCAGAGGGUGACGGUACCUCCAGAAGAAGCCCCGGCUAACUACGUGCCAGCCGCCGCAGUAAGAC